rnacentral:misc_RNA from 1 species
CAGAGUAAAAAAAUGUGUCGCAGCAGGACAUGCCUCCUUUUGCUUUAAAAUUUUAACCCACAGAACACGUCAACAACUAAUUUGAUCAAACUAAUCAUCAUACACAGAUCCACAAUCUACGGCCCUAGCAUUCACAAUCUGACUAUCAAUGUUGGUCAACUAUCAGCAUCCAUGCUUUGUCAAUAAAGUUCAUCCAAACGUUCAAAACUCCCUCUUGAGUCAAAUAUUUUCACUACGCAAAUGGUACACGAACAAAGAGCUGUCCAUGGAGGGUAACAACAGCAGAAGUCUGAAGUGGAUCGAUUCUAGCUGGCAGGCUAACUACCUUUUUGAAGGCGGUAAUACCCCAAGGGUUGUCAAGUUGUUCCGGCUGACCAGUUAUGACCAGACGGCCAGCAGGAUCAGAUUGAACGCGCACCUCCUCUCUCAAAAGCCCAGGCACCAGAGCAUAGAUCUCAAAACAAUCUUUUGUUUCUCGCACGUUGAUUUUUACCCAAUCAGCUGGAGGUCCCAAAUCAACAACUGUUGUAACCAACUGCUUAGAUGUUUCUGUUCGUGCCACUUUCGAAGGAUGUUCCAUUUCAUUUGGUCUCUUGUGUUUUAUAGAACCAAUGCUUUUGAAAUUCUUCUCACGCUUUGGCGUAUGUUUGGCAUUCUUGUCCUUUACAAUUGGCUCCCCAACCUCGCCACAACCAAGAAGACGUUGCUCAUGCCAUCCUUGCAUGGCACGAGCAGCAGCAUCUCUUCUCGCCCUGCCUGAUCCAGGAGUUUGAUUACCAUUUCCCUCAUUAUCAACACCUGCUUCAGGAAGAGCAGCAAUAGGAAGUUGAAGCUUGCCGCUUUGCAUCUUAUGCCUUUCAUAUUCUAAAAGAGCCUUCUCAUAAAAAAUGCGGAAUGUCCAGGACACAGUUGUGCAAGUCUUGGGGGGAUUAAACGAUUCGCCGACUUGUCUCCACAGCUUCGAUCCAGUAACCCGAUCAUAGCCACCCAAUCUGAUCACAGAUCUCCACAACUUCAGGCAAUUAAGAGGAAUGCCAUAAAACUUGGGUGGUUUAAAUUCCAUGGCUCUCUCCCGGUAAAAAUUUUCAAGUUCUCUCAUAAAUGCUGUUUGAUCCUCUGGUGAUCCAUCAUCAUUCCAAUCCUCAUCUUCAUCCUCAUCGUCAGCCAUCUUUGAUUCAUCAAAGAUCUUAUUUGAUGCUUCCCCAGUAUGCUGUCCAGUGUUUGCAGUGUCACAUUUCACCGACAAAUUCGGAGUGGCUGGCUCCGGCAUCUUUGCAAUAGCAGUAUUCUUAACAGCAUCUUUUGUCUCUGACAACUCAUUCGAUCUAUCAUCACGAUCAGAGAUAACACUUGCAGUAUUAGCUUUAUGUUCCACUUUCUUCUGUUCAUCGACCAUCAUAUCAUUCCCAUUUUGAUGAACAUCUUUGAUUGAGUUCUCAGCCUGAUGAGCUUCCUUCACCUCUUUUCCACUGUCACCUACUUCAUUAGUAGGCAGCUCCUCAAGUACCUGCAUGUUUACACCUGUAGUAUCAUGUCGUGCAACAUUUCCAAUAGGUUCUUCCUUCUUCAAAGCCACAUCUGCAUCAGGAUCCCCUUCUUUUUUGUCCUGAAUUGUGGUUUCUCCUUCUGUUCCACCUGUAGCAUUGUUUUGGUCAUCAAGUGCUGUAUUGCCUUGAGUCUCCGGCUGGCCUAUAGUCGCUGUCUCAGUUGCAGCAUUCUUGUGGUCCUCCACCGCAGCCUUUGGAUCAGUCUGUUUCAUUGUAUCACCGUUUCCAUUUUCAGCAGGAAUUGGGGUCUUAGCCCCAGUUUCAGGGUGGUUUUGCGUCCCUAUUUUAGCAUUUUCACUGGUGGAGUGUUGGCCAGGAAGAGCAGGACUGGAAUCAAUCGACUCUACCACAGUAUUUUGGACAUCAUCCAUCUCCACGUCAGUCUUAUCCAUUCUGAUAACUGGAUGAAGGUGAGAGCUUGAUACGGUUGCCUGUGAAUCGGCGUGUAGGGUUUGGUUAGAGUUGGAGAUUAAG